GGUGGCUCAGUGGUAGAGUGCUUGCCUUGCAUGCAUGAGACCCUAGGUUCAAUUCCUCAGCACCA
rfam:Dipodomys ordii contig_2706, whole genome shotgun sequence.